ACACGUGGGUAACCUGCCUGUAASACUGGGAUAACUCCGGGAAACCGGAGCUAAUACCGGAUAGUUCCUUGAACCGCAUGGWUCAAGGAUGAAAGACGGUUUCSGCUGKCWCUUACRGAUGGACCCGCGGCGCAUUAGCUAGUUGGUGGGGUAAUGGCUCACCRAGGSGACSAUGCGUAGCCGACCUGARAGGGUGAUCGGCCACACUGGGACUGAGACACGGCCCASACUCCUACGGGAGGCAGCAGUAGGGAAUCUUCCGCAAUGGACGAAAGUCUGACGGAKCAMCGCCGCGUGAGUGAUGAAGGUUUUCGGAUCGUAAAGYUCUGUUGUUAGGGAAGAACAAGUGCGAGAGUAACUGCUCGCACCUUGACGGUACCUAACCAGAAAGCCMCGGYUAACUACGUGCCA
rnacentral:rRNA from 1 species